rnacentral:tRNA from 1 species
ACCUGGCUAGCUCAGUCAGAGGGCAUGUAACUCUUGAUCUCAGGGUUGUGAGUUCAAGCCCCAUGCUGGGUG